AUCUUGGGAGCAAUAGUUAAUGCAUCCAGUGCAUUCUGCGUUCAGUUGCCGAACUGUUCGCAUCGCGCGGUUGUGUCCUCACUCCGGUGUGCCCGGUUUGCCGGUGAUCUGUACUUGAAUUCUUGGAAAUGGUUUCGCGUGCGUGAAAUUUGCCUUGAUUGGAUGUAAAUUGUAAACCCCUCCCCGUGCGUAGGGCCAGACAAAUCAUUGCCAACUAGGACCUUUUAGUGUGAAAAUUGAGGAGUUUGGCAGCGUUGGCCACAAGUGUGAAAAUCAGCCCCCCCUCGCUAACCGAGUGUAGAGGUAGUCAGAUCGAAGUAACCGAUGUGAAACUGUGUGAAACUGUGCAGUGUUUCCUGCUGGGUAAGAAGCCGUUCGUUUUGUUUUCAGACGAGGAAAAAAUACAUUCUGUUGCAACUGAAUUUGCACCAUAAACCGUUUCAAAAUGAAGAUUGAACAUUUUUGAGGUUAAUAGACCAUGUGCACGGAUGAGCUGGGGUGUUGAAGAAUUUAUAUAACACCGGGUGGCAGCCAUUGAAGACAGAAACCCUUGCCUGGUAACAACCAACCUGGUUCCAACCUCUUCUCGCACGAUAAAUCCAACGCGAAAAAGGACCUUAACCUCCUGGUUAAACUGCAGCAGCGAAGUCUCAUUGAGGGUAACGGCCCUUAACAUACCACAUUUGGUUGGUACACCACCACCCGUACCAUAUGUGAAGUUUGUUGUUUUUGUACAUUUUUGGUUCAUUUUAUGAUCCUCUCAAUACAAUAAGAAUAUGUGCGUAAAGCGUACCAGAAGAAAGCGGUUCAGAGUUUGUGCAGCAGCAGCUCUCCCUAUGCGCAGAAUGAUAAACACGUGAUCGCCAUACGGAGUGCAUGCGGCAAAAUAUUCCAAAGAUCGUUGGCAAACCAGAACUCGGCAUCUUUUUUCGUGUUUGAACUAAGUUCGCGACAGAGAGCAAGUAAAGGAAUGGUCGGGGUUUUCGCUGGAGCUCGCGCGUGUGUCGUCUAAAAUGUGUGUGUUUAAUGUGAUUCUUCUUCUAACACUUUUCCCUUGAAUGUGUCCCCUGAUCUCCCUCCAAAAGUACGGAUCCUUUAGUGUCAGGCCUGACUCAGUGACGUAACGCGUGUGCGCGAUCACCAACGCCGCAUGCUGAGCGUUUGGUACAAGAAGCAAAGCUGCGAAAGUUCCAUGCUUCCUUGCAUUCAAUAGUAUGUUUCAAAAACCCUAUGGAAUGUAAAGAAGUAUGGAGCGAUUGGGCUAGUUCAGCAGGAGAGCAGACGUUACAAAAAUAUAAAACCGAUUAUUUGCAGCCAAUAUUCAACCUCUAUUUAAUCCUAACACGCAAUCAUUGGUUGCCAACGGUGAAAUAACUAUUCUUUCAGCGUAAAAAGCAGCCGCAGCACGUACACAGCUGCAUUCUAGCGAAGAUCCUGCUAUUUAUAGCAUAUAAUGCCGCCUGCGAGACAGGCCUUCACUACACCGCUGCUGUGGCUUCGUGAUUUCAGCCGUCGUUAAGGCGGUACGCAUCAUCUCGCUUUUCUGACCGGCCGCGCGAAACGUUGCAGCAGCAGCAGCAAGCAAGAUUGCGUUGGACGAGAAGGACGAGCAGUUAGGCCGCCACUGAGCCGUAUCGAGGAGGAUGUAAAAAUAUCUUCAGCUCCCGAGCGCGCACACUGCGAGCAAUGGACUCUGAUCGUGCGCCUCUCAACGCAUGCGCCUGCGUGACACGAGAUCGGUGCGCUGCUGUGCCCAGAGGGCAGCGGCAGAGGGAGAGAGCAUUUCGUACGUGAACGUGCCCCCGUGCGGCGGAGUGGAUGGUGGUCGGAAAAUCGUCGUUUUUUUUUUUAAUUUCAUCAAACCUGCGCAGUAUUAUUUUUAGAAUCCUAGGGCACACGUUCGUCGUUCGUCACACUCGUGCACAGAUUUUGGUCUAAAAGAUGUCAUUUCUAGGAGCCGUUUGGGAUUGCACAGGGUUUGGGACUUAUUUUAUGUGCGGCCGGUGUAGAGCUUGGAAGAUGGUCGGGAUCCUCGUUUGAGAUACAAUUUGAGGAUUUUAACGUUUGAGAUACAAAAAAGGGAAGCUAGGAAAAUAUAAUUAAAAAAAAUAACAAAAAUGGA